UCAAGUGACUAAGUGCAUGCGGCGGAUGCCUUGGCGAUCACAGGCGAAGAAAGACGCGGCAGCCUGCGAAAAGCUGCGGGGAGCUGGCAAACGAGCUUUGAUCCGCAGAUAUCUGAAUGGGGGAACCCACACCGCAAGGUGUAUCCGUAGCUCAAUACAUAGGUUACGGAGGCGAACGAGGAGAACUGAAACAUCUAAGUAUCCUCAGGAAAAGAAAUCAACCGAGAUUCCGGCAGUAGCGGCGAGCGAACCCGGAGGAGCCCAGCUUUUGAUAGUACGAACUUUAGCCGAAAGGUCCUGGAAAGGCCUGCUAUAGUGGGUGAUAGCCCCGUAGGCGAAAGAGUUGGUACGGUACUAAGGAAGCGAGAAGUAGAGCGGGACACGUGGAAUCCUGUUCGAAGACGGGGGGACCAUCCUCCAAGGCUAAAUACUCGUGAUCGACCGAUAGUGAACCAGUACCGUGAGGGAAAGGCGAAAAGAACCCCGGGAGGGGAGUGAAAUAGAACCUGAAACCGCAUGCAUACAAACAGUAGGAGCCUCGUCAGAGGUGACUGCGUACCUUUUGCAUAAUGGGUCAGCGACUUACAUUCUGUGGCGAGCUUAACCGAAUAGGGGAGGCGCAGCGAAAGCGAGUUCGAAAUGAGCGUCCAGUCGCAGGGUGUAGACCCGAAACCAGAUGAGCUAUCCAUGGCCAGGUUGAAGGUGUGGUAACACACACUGGAGGACCGAACCGACUAGUGUUGCAAAAUUAGCGGAUGAGCUGUGGAUAGGGGUGAAAGGCCAAACAAAUCUGGAGAUAGCUGGUUCUCCCCGAAAACUAUUGAGGUAGUGCCUCGUGUGUCGCUCCAGGGGGUAGAGCACUGUUUUGGCUAGGGGGACAUGGAGUCUUACCAAACCAAGGCAAACUCCGAAUACCUGGAAGCGUGAGCACGGGAGACAGAGCACCGGGUGCUAACGUCCGGACUCAAAAGGGAAACAACCCAGACCGCCGGCUAAGGUCCCAAAUAACAGCUAAGUGGAAAACGAAGUGGAAAGGCCGUGACAACCAGGAAGUUGGCUUAGAAGCAGCCAUCCUUCAAAGAAAGCGUAAUAGCUCACUGGUCGAGUCCUUCUGCGCGGAAGAUGUAACGGGGCUAAGCUGUUAACCGAAGCCGCGGAUGCACUGGUAAUCCAGUGCGUGGUAGGGGAGCGUUCUGUAAGUCUGCGAAGGCGGUUCGAGAGGACUGCUGGAGAUAUCAGAAGUGCGAAUGCUGACAUGAGUAACGUUAAAGCAGGUGAAAAGCCUGCUCGCCGUAAGCCCAAGGAUUCCUGCUCUACGUUCAUCGGAGCAGGGUGAGUCGGCUCCUAAGGUCAGGCCGAAAGGCGUAGCCGAUGGGAAUCAGGUUAAUAUUCCUGAACCUGCGUCAGAUGCGAUGGGGGGACGGAGCAUGGAAGAUCAUCCGGGUGUUGGAAGUCCCGGUUGUUUAGCGUAGGAGGUCUGCAGGCAAAUCCGCAGACGCAUCUCCAAGGCAAAGACACGUGCCGCCACGGCGGCGAAGUGAUCGGAAGUGCUUCCAAGAAAAGCCUCUAAGCACCAGUCUGAUGCGGACCGUACCGCAAACCGACACUGGUGGGCGAGCUGAAUAUGCUCAGGCGCUUGAGAGAACUCGGGAGAAGGAACUCGGCAAAUUGACACCGUAACUUCGGAAGAAGGUGUGCCGUAGUACCGUGAGAGGAGAGACACCUUGAGCGGGAAACGGUCUCAGAGAAUAGGUGGCUGCGACUGUUUAUUAAAAACACAGCACUCUGCAAAGUCGAAAGACGACGUAUAGGGUGUGAUGCCUGCCCGGUGCUGGAAGAUUAAUUGAUGGGGUGAGAGCCCUUGAUCGAAGUCCCAGUAAACGGCGGCCGUAACUAUAACGGUCCUAAGGUAGCGAAAUUCCUUGUC
rnacentral:rRNA from 1 species